GGCGAUGUAGCUCAGCCGGCUAGAGCGGAGGAUUCAUAACCCUCAGGUCGGUGGUUCGAGUCCACCCGUCGCCA
rnacentral:tRNA from 1 species